rnacentral:rRNA from 1 species
AACGAACGCUGGCGGCAGGCCUAACACAUGCAAGUCGAGCGCCCUUUCGGGGGAGCGGCGGACGGGUGAGUAACGCGUGGGAAUAUGCCCUUCUCUACGGAAUAGCCGCGGGAAACUGAGAGUAAUACCGUAUACGCCCUUAGGGGGAAAGAUUUAUCGGGGAAGGAUUAGCCCGCGUUGGAUUAGGUAGUUGGAGGGGUAAUGGCCUACCAAGCCGACGAUCCAUAGCUGGUUUGAGAGGAUGAUCAGCCACACUGGGACUGAGACACGGCCCAGACUCCUACGGGAGGCAGCAGUGGGGAAUCUUAGACAAUGGGGGCAACCCUGAUCUAGCCAUGCCGCGUGAGUGAUGAAGGCCUUAGGGUUGUAAAGCUCUUUCAGCUGGGAAGAUAAUGACGGUACCAGCAGAAGAAGCCCCGGCUAACUCCGUGCCAGCCGCCGCAGUAA